AUUAAAAAAGAGGAAGAGAAAGAAAAGAAAACUACACUAGGUUCUCAUCUUAACCUGGGAGUCACCUCUGUCUUCCUGGCAUCCGCACAAUCAGUAGGACCCAGCAAUCUCCCGCAGGACAUUUUCUAAAGUGCCCAGAGAGAAGGUCCUCCUAGAAAGCAGAAGGCUUUCCCCCACCUUCCACCAUGCCCACUGUCACAAGGAUUCGCUGGGAGCCAUUCACUUCUGUGUGGCUGUAACCUCUGGCUUUCCCAAUCAAGCAGCUAUGGUGCUCUCCUUGCCCAAAUCCAUGAAUCUGCACUCAAGUCUGGGAAGUAACUUUGGCCACAAAAGGAAUUCCAUCUUAUAGAUAGAAGAGGAGAGGUGAUGUGAGCCCCUAUAUAUUAACAUCUCUAUCUGUUCAAGAGCUUCUCCAACUACUUUUUUCUGUUAAGUAAACCUGUCUGUGAGUAAAAUAAACAAGGAGUUGAUUCAAAUUCUGCUGUGUGAGGAGAGAAUCUUCCAGUUUUUGAGGACAAGAGAAACCAAAUUUUAUGGUGAUUUACCCGUAGCAAUUGAAGAUCACCAAGAGAGAAGACUUUUAUUUUUCUGUUUUUGGUGUGUUUUAACUUGUUUUCAUUUAGACUGUUUUGAAGAUGGAUUGGGAGGAGGAGAGUGAAGAAUGAAAAGCUCUAUGUUAGAGGAAUCUAUAUGUGCAGUUUCCUUAUUAACUGUAUGUGUCAUCCUCAGAGAUGCUGCAUGACCUGGUGAAAGAACACGGGCUUUGGAGAUAGAUACUCAUAUAUUUGUACUUAUGCUUGAAUCCCAUCUCGGUUACUUUCUACCUGAGUAUAAUUUAUAGCAUGACAGUUAUUAUCAGGAGCACAAAGGAAGCACUGUUUUCUGUAAAUGAAGAUAAGAACUGUUUUGCAAUAUUAUUGUGAGAACUAAUGAAAUAAUUUUGUAAAAUGCUUAAGAUAGUACCUGUCAUAUAUUUAAUAUUUAUUUAUUAUAUUAAAUUUAUUAUUAAAUAAUAAUAAUAUUUAAUCAUGGCAGUCUGCAAUCAUGACAAAUUCUGAUAAUAAUAGCAUUUAGGAUGGGCAUGGUGGUUUAUGCCUGUAAUCCCAGCACCUUGGGAGGCCAAGGAGGGAGGACUGCUUGAGGCUAGGAGUUCAAGACCAGCCUGGGCAACAUAGCAGGGCCCUGUUCCUACAAACAAACAAACAAACAAAUAAUCAAAAAACGUAGCCGGAUGUGCUGGCGUGUGCCUGUAGUCCUAGGCUGAGGCAGGAGGAUCAUCUGAGUCCAGGAGUUCGAGGCUGCAGUGAGCUACGAUCACACCACUGUACUCCAGCCUGGGUGACAGAGUGAGACUCUGUCUCUAAAAGAGAAAGAAAAAGAGAAAGACUAAUAGUUUUUGUUUGUUUGUUUGUUUGUUUGUUUUAACUGGAGUUGGAGGGCUUCUGCCAAAAUUUUCUGUUUCUAACUUUUUUGGUUUUUGUUUUUAUAAAAUAUAUUUUAUUUUUAAAAUAGAC
rnacentral:lncRNA from 1 species